AGGAAUGUGGCUCAUCUUGGUAGAGCGCUUGGUUCGGGACCAAGAGUCCACAGGUUCAAAUCCUGUCAUUCCGA
rnacentral:tRNA from 1 species